rnacentral:rRNA from 1 species
GAUGAACGCUGGCGGCGUGCUUAACACAUGCAAGUCGAACGAUGAAGCUGGAGCUUGCUCCGGCGGAUUAGUGGCGAACGGGUGAGUAACACGUGAGCAAUCUGCCCUUGACUCUGGGAUAACUGCGGGAAACUGUAGCUAAUACCGGAUACGACGCCUUGGGGCAUCCCACGGGCGUGGAAAGAAUUUCGGUCAAGGAUGAGCUCGCGGCCUAUCAGCUAGUUGGUGAGGUAAUGGCUCACCAAGGCGACGACGGGUAGCCGGCCUGAGAGGGUGACCGGCCACACUGGGACUGAGACACGGCCCAGACUCCUACGGGAGGCAGCAGUGGGGAAUAUUGCGCAAUGGGCGAAAGCCUGACGCAGCAACGCCGCGUGAGGGAUGAAGGCCUUCGGGUUGUAAACCUCUUUUAGCAGGGAAGAAGCGAAAGUGACGGUACCUGCAGAAAAAGCACCGGCUAACUACGUGCCAGCAGCCGCGGUAAUACGUAGGGUGCAAGCGUUAUCCGGAAUUAUUGGGCGUAAAGAGCUCGUAGGCGGUUUGUCGCGUCUGCUGUGAAAAUCUGAGGCUCAACCUCGGACUUGCAGUGGGUACGGGCAGACUAGAGUGCGGUAGGAGAGAAGGGAAUUCCUGGUGUAGCGGUGGAAUGCGCAGAUAUCAGAGGAACACCAAUGGCGAAAGCACUUCUCUGGGCCGUAACUGACGCUGAGGAGCGAAAGCGUGGGGAGCGAACAGGAUUAGAUACCCUGGUAGUCCACGCCGUAAACGUUGGGCGCUAGAUGUGGGUCACAUUCCACGUGAUCCGUGUCGCAGCUAACGCAUUAAGCGCCCCGCCUGGGGAGUACGGCCGCAAGGCUAAAACUCAAAGGAAUUGACGGGGGCCCGCACAAGCGGCGGAGCAUGCGGAUUAAUUCGAUGCAACGCGAAGAACCUUACCAAGACUUGACAUAUUCAGGAAAACUGCAGAAAUGUAGUCCCCCGCAAGGGUCUGUUUACAGGUGGUGCAUGGUUGUCGUCAGCUCGUGUCGUGAGAUGUUGGGUUAAGUCCCGCAACGAGCGCAACCCUCGUCCUAUGUUGCCAGCACGUUAUGGUGGGAACUCAUGGGAGACUGCCGGGGUCAACUCGGAGGAAGGUGGGGAUGACGUCAAAUCAUCAUGCCCCUUAUGUCUUGGGCUUCACGCAUGCUACAAUGGCCGGUACAAAGGGCUGCAAUACCGUAAGGUGGAGCGAAUCCCAAAAAGCCGGUCUCAGUUCGGAUUGAGGUCUGCAACUCGACCUCAUGAAGUCGGAGUCGCUAGUAAUCGCAGAUCAGCAACGCUGCGGUGAAUACGUUCCCGGGCCUUGUACACACCGCCCGUCAAGUCACGAAAGUCGGUAACACCCGAAGCCGGUGGCCUAACCGUAAGGAAGGAGCCGUCUAAGGUGGGAUUGGUGAUUGGG